AGAGUUUGAUCCUGGCUCAGGAUGAACGCUAGCUACAGGCUUAACACAUGCAAGUCGAGGGGAAACGACAUCGAAAGCUUGCUUUUGAUGGGCGUCGACCGGCGCACGGGUGAGCAACGCGUAUCCAACCUGCCCACCACUUGGGGAUAACCUUGCGAAAGUAAGACUAAUACCCAACCCUGACGUCUCUAGAAGACAUCUGAAAGAGAUUAAAGAUUUAUCGGUGAUGGAUGGGGAUGCGUCUGAUUAGCUUGUUGGCGGGGUAACGGCCACCAAGGCUACGAUCAGUAGGGGUUCUGAGAGGAAGGUCCCCCACAUUGGAACUGAGACACGGUCCAAACGUCCUACGGGAGGCA
rnacentral:rRNA from 1 species